AGAGUUUGAUCCUGGCUCAGAAUGAACGUUGGCGGUGCGCCUAACACAUGCAAGUCGAGCGGAAGUAAUUCAGCGGCAGACGGGUGAGUAACGCGUGGGAAUCUGCCCUUUAGUGGAGAAUACCUUCGAGAAAUCGGAGUUAAUACUGCAUAAGUUCCUUGUAAAAGGAAGAAAGAUGGCCUCUUGCUGUCGCUAAAGGA
rnacentral:rRNA from 1 species